CUUCGGUACAUCGGUGACAGGUGGUGCAUGGUUGUCGUCAGCUCGUGUCGUGAGAUGUUGGGUUAAGUCCCGCAACGAGCGCAACCCCUAUUGUUAGUUGCCAUCAUUCAGUUGGGCACUCUAGCGAGACUGCCGGUAAUAAACCGGAGGAAGGUGGGGAUGACGUCAAAUCAUCAUGCCCCUUAUGACCUGGGCUACACACGUGCUACAAUGGUUGGUACAACGAGUUGCGAGUCGGUGACGGCGAGCUAAUCUCUUAAAGCCAAUCUCAGUUCGGAUUGUAGGCUGCAACUCGCCUACAUGAAGUCGGGAAUCGCUAGUAAUCGCGGAUCAGCACGCCGCGGUGAAUACGUUCCCGGGCCUU
rnacentral:rRNA from 1 species